UUUGAUGAUGAAAACUUUACUCAGCUCACUCAGAUUAUUAAUGAUCGAUAACAUUUCCAAUCCAACAUUCAUCAAAAUACUGAACACAAG
rnacentral:snoRNA from 1 species